UACAGAGGUCUCAAGCGUUGUUCGGAUUCAUUGGGCGUAAAGGGUGCGUAGGCGGCACGGUAAGUCGGGUGUGAAAUCUUGGAGCUUAACUCCGAAACUGCAUUCGAUACUGCCGUGCUUGAGGACUGGAGAGGAGACUGGAAUUUACGGUGUAGCGGUGAAAUGCGUAGAUAUCGUAAGGAAGACCAGUGGCGAAGGCGGGUCUCUGGACAGUUCCUGACGCUGAGGCACGAAGGUCAGGGGAGCAAACGGG
rnacentral:rRNA from 1 species